CGCAUGUUGAACACGUGUUUGAUAGGCCGGAGGUGGAAGCCCCGUGAGGGGUGGAGCCGACCGGUACUAACGGGCGACGGCGACA
rnacentral:rRNA from 1 species